rnacentral:rRNA from 1 species
AGGGGCCGUGGUCUACAUGCAGUGUAUUACUCUGCCGUCCGUGCUCGAUUGGCCUUGAAAUCAAUCAGGUGUGAGCACCAUCAAUCAAUUGGGCCAACGCGUUCGACUUGCAUGUAUUAGGCACACCGCCGGCGUUCAUCCUGAGCCAUGUAUCAAACUCUGA